rnacentral:rRNA from 1 species
GCUAAGAAUAUUCCGCAAUGGACGAAAGUCUGACGGAGCGACGCCGCGUGGAUGAGGAAGGCCGAAAGGUUGUAAAGUCCUUUUGUCGAUGAAGAAUAAGUGGUGGAGGGAAUGCCAUCAUGAUGACGUUAGUCGGCGAAUAAGCCCCGGCUAAUUACGUGCCAGCAGCCGCGGUAACACGUAAGGGGCAAGCGUUGUUCGGAAUUAUUGGGCGUAAAGGGUACGUAGGCGGUUAUGUAAGCCCGGCGUGAAAUCCUGCAGCUUAACUGUAGAGCUGCGCUGGGAACUGCGUAACUUGAGUCAUGGAAGGGAAGUUAGAAUUCCAGGUGUAGGGGUGAAAUCUGUAGAUAUCUGGAAGAAUACCGGUGGCGAAGGCGAACUUCUGGCCAAUGACUGACGCUGAGGUACGAAAGUGCGGGGAGCAAACAGGAUUAGAAACCCGAGUAGUCC